rnacentral:pre_miRNA from 1 species
AUGAGCUGCCAGAUCUCCCAGUGAGGAGGCCAGGGCCAUCGGAUCCGGUGACCCCGGUCUCCUCGCCGGCGGAUCCGGCGCUCAGA